rnacentral:rRNA from 1 species
AUUGAACGCUGGCGGAAUGCUUUACACAUGCAAGUCGAACGGCAGCACGGGUGCUUGCACCUGGUGGCGAGUGGCGAACGGGUGAGUAAUAUAUCGGAACGUAUCCAAUAAUGGGGGAUAACUAAUCGAGAGGUUGGCUAAUACCGCAUACGCCCUACGGGGGAAAGCUAGGGACCUUCGGGCCUGGCGUUAAUGGAGCGGCCGAUAUCUGAUUAGCUAGUUGGUGGGGUAAUGGCCUACCAAGGCGACGAUCAGUAGCUGGUCUGAGAGGACGACCAGCCACACUGGAACUGAGACACGGUCCAGACUCCUACGAGAGGCAGCAGUGGGGAAUUUUGGACAAUGGGCGCAAGCCUGAUCCAGCCAUUCCGCGUGAGUGAAGAAGGCCUUCGGGUUGUAAAGCUCUUUCGCAAGGGAAGAAAACUUAUCCUCUAACAUAGGAUGAGGUUGACGGUACCUUGAUAAGAAGCACCGGCUAACUACGUGCCAGCAGCCGCCGUAACAC